UUGUACUUGGAGGUCUUGAUGCAGUUGCUCGCAUACUGGAACUUCUCAUUGUACUCCCGUGCGUUGGCGCGUACCUGGCACUCCUCCUCGGCUCCCCCCGGGCCCCGGACCCGCGGCCACUUCUCGGGCAUCUCCCGGGGCACCGUCAUGGCUGCGGGCCCGGGACGCGCCCCGCCGGCGCCAUCCCGCGGGGCCGCAGCCGCUGCCGGUGCUGCC
rnacentral:lncRNA from 1 species